AGGGAUAUAGUUCAGUGGCAUAAGCAACUGCCUGGCAAGUGCAGAAUCCCAAGUUCAGUUCCUGGUAUCCCUC
rnacentral:tRNA from 1 species